UUCGCCGCCGGCCGCUCGGCGCUAUUGUCCAGGCCCGGCGAGGCCCGGCCGCCCCGGGUGGGGGCGCGCAGCGCUUCGGAGCCUCCCGCCCCGCCGCGGCAGCAACUCGGGGCCCGGUUAACACUGCCCUGCUCCCGCCUGCGCCAUGAUCUCCGCCAAGCCGCUUCCCGCGCCGCCGCCUCAGGCCGCCGCCGCCAUGUUUUCCUUCCUUGUACCUGGCCCCGCCACCGCGGCCGGCGGCUUCGCGCUGCUCCCGCUGUUCCCAGGGGCCGGAGCCGACGGGCGCCCGCCCCCGCCGCGGCGGCUACCAGCGCCCGGCAGGCCCGCGAAGGCCCCCCGGCGUCAGAGCGACUCCGGCCGCUGCAAGCCGCUCGCCCAGCGCCGCUGCCGCCGCCUCUUCCGUCUUCCUCAGCGAACCAAAGCCGCCGCCAUCUUGGUUCGCCCCUCAAAAGCGGCGCGCGGGGCCACCCAGGCAGCAGCUGCAGGGGCGGCCCGUUGGCCCCACCAUUUAAAGAGACAGCAGCGAGGCGGGCGCCUCGGCGGGGCGGCGGCCUCGGCCGGAGGCGGGCGGCGGGCGGCCGAGCUGCCGGGCCGGCGGGAGCGCCGGGAGCGGAGGAGGUGGGGACGCUGGUGGCGCCGGCGACGGCCCGGGGCUCCCUCGCGCUUCCCUGCACGCACCGUCGUGCGAGCGCGGGGCGGCGUGUGCGUCCGUCGCGCCCUGUGUUCGUCAUCAGCCCGGGCUCCGGGACUCGGAAGGGGCGUGGAGGCCGCGGGGCCGCCUGCGGCCUGCGCGAGAGCUCCGCCGGCCGCCUCGGGAGACGCCCCGCGCCCGCGGGACCUGCCCGGGGCGGGGAUGGAGGCCGUUGGCCUGCGGGCUGCAGCUGCGGCGUUUCGGGGCGAGGCCGCAGUGGCUGUUGUUACGUUUAUUCCCCUGUUGGCAUGUCUUUGAGCCCCAAACCAAAUAUGAAGUAAUUUGUGGAAGAAUCCUACUUACAAGGUAAAUAAAACCAAUAGGAGUUAUUAAGUGCAAAAAAGUUUAAAAUUGUAUUUAUUAUGUUACAGGUAUUAAAGAGUAGAUUUAAAUAAACUGUUGCAUACAAUGUUAAGUUACCCUGUAUCAAACACAGACAGAAAGAUACAUCUAUUCACAGAGGAGAGAAAGCUCUCCAGCUGUGCACACCCCCUGCUUAGCUGAUAGUGGGCUCUGCCUGAAAUCCCCAGGGCAGGACAGCACCAGCCGGGGAACUCCAGGGCAGGAGCCGACAAGGCUACAAACAAAAUUUCUAGCUUUGGGAAACAGUUCUGUUUAUUUUUAAAGUUUUUCCUUAUUUUUAUGUUAGAGAAUCCAUCCUCUGAUUCACUCUUCAGAUGGUUGCAACAGGCAGAGCUGGGCCAGAUCCAAGGGAAGAGCCCAAAACUCAACUUGGAUCUCCGACAUGGGUGGCAGGGAUCCAAAGGCUGAAGUACUGACCACUGCCUCCCGGGCUGCACCCACUAGCAGGGAGCUGAAAUUGGAGGCAGAGUUAGGACUCAAACCCAGGCACUGCCUCUGGGCUGCUGCUGUCCCCAGUGGCAUCUUCACCACCAUGCCACAAACUCAGGCCCCAAGCGUUGUGUUGUGUUUGGUUUUGAAAGGUGUGGAGGCAAAGGUCUUCCCUUUGCUGCUGGUUAACUCCCCAGAUGGCCACAACAGCUGGAGCUAGGCCAGGCCCAGGCCAAGAGUCCAGAAUAAUCCAGAUCUCCCACAUGCUUGAGCCAUCACCUGCAUUAGCAGGAAGCAGGAAGCAGAAUGGAAGUGGAGCUGGGACUUCAACCAGGCACUCUGAUAUGGGAUCAGUUGUCCCCACCCAGUCCUUAGUGGCUGUGCCAAACACUUGCCCUGAAGUUUGAUUCUUAAGGCCUUUAACUGCGUGAGAUUCUUGAGGGCAAAUUCCUUGACUUAAAGCCAACUGAUUUUACAUUUUAAUUACAUCUUCAGCAAAACCUAGAUUAGUGUUUGGUUGAAUAACUGAGUACCAGAGCUUAGCCAUAUUGACACAAAACUAAGGAUUACAGUAGUGUGGGCAGGCAUUGUGGUACUGGGGUGAGCAGCCACGCAGGACACCCACAUCUCAUAGCAGAGUGCCGAGGGUAGAGUCCUGCCUCAGCCACCAACCCAGCUUCCUGCUAAUGCACCUGAGAGGCAACAGCUUACGUCUGAUGCAAGGACUUGGGUUGCUACCGCGUUCCUGACAGAUUUGAAUGGAGUUCCUGCCUCCUGGCUUCAAACUAGCCCAGCUCUGGCUCUUGCGGCCAUUUGAGGGGUAAAGCAGCAGGUGAAAGGUUCUCUCUUUGCCUUUCUAAUAAUAAUUUUAAAAAGUUAGAAAAUGUAGUAGUAAAUGAAAUACUUUAACUUAUUGUCAUUUAAUCAUACAUAGGCCAUGCACAAAUGAGGCCAUGAUCAAGAACAUUUCCAGGGGCCAGUGUCGUGGCACAGUGAGUUAAGCAGCCUUCUUUGAUGCCAGAAUCCCAUAAGGGCACAAGUUCAAGUCCUGGCUGUUCCACUUCCAAUUCUCCCUGCUAAUGCCCCUGGGAAAGGUGCGGAAAGUGCCCAUGUCUUUGGGCCCCUGCACCCAUGUGGGAGACCCAGAUGUAGUUCCUGGCUCCUGGCUUUGGCCUGGCCCAGCCCUGGCUGUUGUAGCUAUGUCGCAAGGGAACCAGCAAAUGGAAGAUCUCUCUCUCUCUCUCCUGUCUGUAACUCUGCUUUUCAGGUAAGUAAAUAAAUAUUUUAAGAAGUUUUCUAGAGGAAUUCAGUAGGGGGAUUGGAAAUCACGAGAGGCUGAGACACGUUGUGGAGAUAGUCCAGGGCCCAGGUCCUGCCUCUCAGUAGCCGUGUGGUGGGGACAGGUGUCCUCACCCCUCUGUGUUUCAUUUCCUCAUCUGAAGGCAGGAUUCCUCCAGUCCUGGUAACAGAAAGCAUCCGAGAGGCCUCGAGCCCUCACCUACAUACAUGACACAAACUGGUACAAUAAGCUCUGGAGCCUGCUCUGGGUGCAGGGUUUGUACUCUGUAUGUGACUUACUUUGAUCCACAUCACAGUCAUCGUGUUUCCUGUUGCCCGCCUUGACCUAAAACCCCUGCAAAGAGCAGGGACAAGGCUGCUGGGCUGUGUACACCCCCUGUGGAAGGCACCGUCCACACAGAGGUGUGGGUGUGGUGGGGAGGCGGAUGGUACCACCCAAGGCACCGUCCAUGCGGAGGUGUGGGUGUGGUGGGGAGGCAGAUGGUGUCCUAUGGUGAGAAGGACACGCCCACCCAAUGUUAGAGUGAGUCUCCUUUUUGGCUCAGCCACCAAGUUGGUGGUGUGAAAUAAGAAACAUAAUCUCUUUGGGUGUCCAUUGUCUCAUCCUGGCAAGACUCUUUAAGGACCCUUCUAGUUUUCUUUUUCUUUUUCUUUUUCUUUUUUUUUUUUUUGACAGGCAGAGUGGACAGUGAGAGAGAGAGACAGAGAGAAAGGUCUUCCUUUUGCCGUUGGUUCACCCUCCAGUGGCCGCCGCGGCCGGCGCACUGCAGCCGGCGCACCGCGCUGAUCCGAUGGCAGGAGCCAGGUACUUAUCCUGGUCUCCCGUGGGGUGCAGGGCCCAAGCACUUGGGCCAUCCUCCACUGUACUCCCAGGCCACAGCAGAGAGCUGGCCUGGAAGAGGGGCAACCAAGACAGAAUCCGGCGCCCCGACCGGGACUAGAACCCGGUGUGCAGGCGCCACAAGGUGGAGGAUUAGCCUAGUGAGCCGCGGUGCCGGCUCCUAGCUUUCAAACUCUAUAAGCAUGCGAUGAAAAUGUUAAGAAUGAAAACUAAAUCCUCCCCAUUCAGGCAGAAACCAGGAUGAUAAAUCAUGAGCAUUUUAUUACAAGUCGCAAUGUUAGGGGCCAGCUGCUGUGGUGUAGUGGGUAAAGCCACUGUCUACAGUGCCGGAAUCCCAUAUGGGUGCCUGUUCAAGUUUUGGCUGCUCCACCUCUGACCCAGCUCUCUGCUCUGGCCUGGAAAGCAGUAGAAGAUGGCCCAAGUCCUUGGGCCCCUGCACCCACAUGGGAGACUCAGAAGAAGAUCCUGGCUCCUGGCUUUGGGUCGGUGCGACUCUGACCCUUGCGCCCAUCUAGGGAGUGAACCAGCGGAUGGAAGACCUCUCUCUUUCUCUCUCUGCCUCUGCCUUUCUCUAACUCUGCCUUUCAAAUAAAAACCUAAAUAAAUCUUAAAAAAAAAAAAAAAAGGUAAGGCAAAAGGAGCCUUGGCAACGGGCAGAGGGCAUGGCGAGGGGUCUUGCCAUGGUGGGGAGAGAUCGAUUUCCGCUCUGCUUCCAGCAAGGACAAGUGGGGUAUAGCCAAGAGCAGAGUGGGGUGAGUGGAUGGGAGGUUACAUGGGAAACCUCAAGGGCAGGAGGUCUCCGCAUAACCUGACCCCAUCGGGCUAGUGUGGCAGGAGGAUGAGGAGAGUGGCCCUAGGUCACACUGGGAGAUUGGCACUGCACCGACUUAGAGUCCAGUGCAAACUGUGUUCAGUGCGCACAGAGGGAGGCCAGAGGCCUCGCCUGGCGGAGCACCCAGAGGGGCCUGACCAAAGGGCUGCUCAGAUGUCUUGGUCAGUGUCCCUGUUCCUCCUUUCCUCAUGGAUGUAUCCACCCACAACUGGGGGUGGAGUUCCAGAGUUUACAGAAAAUGUGUAUUAUGAAAAAACUAUGUGUGGGUUUCAGCAUUUUUUGUACCAAAAUAAACUUGGUUUUUAAUUUUUUCAUAAACUUUUGGAAAUGCCCUUGUUCACUAAAAAUGUUAUUAAAAUGUAGGAUGAACAGAGACGUAAUGUGCAACAUGGAGACUACAGUUAAUAAUAAUCAUUGCCUGUUCAGGAGUUUUGCUAGUUUAAGACAGCUGCACUUCCAAAGCUGAAUUCUGGCGGCCACACUGAAGACAGAGUGGAGCAGGGAAAGACUGGAGUUGGGAGUCUCUUGGAAGUUAUGUAACAGUUCCAGAUUCUCAGGAGGGCCUGCCCAGCCCCGGGGCAGAGCCUUAGAACGAGGGGUGGCUCCAAGAGCUCUUUCACUUAUUAUUUUUAUUUAUUCACAAUGCAGAUCAACAGAGGGAAAGAGAGAGAGAGAGGGAGAGAGAGAGUGCAAGAUCACAUUUCCAAAUGCCUGCAACAGUUGGGGCUGUGCCAGGCCAAAACCAGGAGCCAAGAACUCAGCCCAAGUCUCCCAUGUGGGUGGCAGGGACCCAAGCACGGAGCCAUCACCUGCUGCCUCUCGGGGUGUUCACUGGUAGGAAGCUGAAACAGAAGUGGAGCAGGGACUUGAACCCAGACACUCCGACACAGGAUUCAGGCAUCAAAAGCAACAGCUUAACCCACAAUUGUGGGCAGCCACAGGCAGUGGCCCCCUUUGUUUACACUUAAACAUAUGGAUGGAGACAGACAAUUAGACUAAGGAGAUUCCGGGAAGAGGCAGGAAGAACCUUAUCUCACUGCUAAACCUCUCACAAGAGAUGAUGUAGAUAAUCAGUCACACCUGAAACCUGCAUUUAUCACCUAAGUGUUUUAUUGUACCCUUGUAGUCAAUAAUUAAGAACCUUAUUGGGAACUCUUUGUAACAUUAAACGCCUUUUUGAUAUGUAAAUCUUUUGUGCUCCUUCUUGUAAACAACUGGUCAUGUUUAAAUACUACUGGAUUUGUUGAAUAAACGAGCCUUGAUCAGGACUCGUCUUGGCUCCAUUCUUUGCAUCCUUGUCCCUGCAUUCCCACUCUGUUUCAGGAAACCCAGUUCUUUGUGCUGCAGGCCAGCACACACAAUGUCCACACGGGAAAGCUAUCUCAGAUGCACAAGUGAGAGGAUUUGCUUCAACGUUGAGAUGGAGUGUGUGACAAGGGGACAAUCAGGAUAUCCAGGUCAUGGGACUGAGCACGGGAAAGGGACCACAGGAGAUAAUUUGGUAGGAAACAUAUAAAUCAGCAAGUAAAAAGUGUGAAAUCAGUUUUGCAUGGAAGGACGCGGAGUACUCAUUCGCCUCUAUCUAGUUAGGCAGCCACUCUUUCCGCCUUGGAUUGUUUGCAGUACCAAAGCUCAUCUGGCGGGCAAAGAGCAAAGUCCAGAUUCUGACUGUCUUUGCCAAGUUCGGCUUUCUUUCCCUGAGUUUCUUGACAUCCAAGGUACGAGAGAUAAGCCUGUCAGAUGAGUCUGAAGUCCGUCGGAUUUAAAUGGAGCAUCACACAUUCACAAAAACAUAAACAGACGCUUUAUUGGCCCAUCAAGUGAGCAACUGUGCAUUGCCUUCGAAGCUGGCUGCUUCCAGUGCUUUGACCCACGCUGUCAGCUUCUCCCCCUCUUCCCUCAGGAGACUCGCUCACUUCCUUGCUUUCGUAGUUUUGCCUCCCACGGAUGCAUUUCUAAACCACAUGCUGUUUAGAUUUGAAAAGUCGACCAACAAGCAUGGACUUAGUUGUGCAAAGACAGAGCAGUCCACUGCUGGAGGAAGACGCAGCCGCUGCUGUGGACUGCCGGUCUGUGUCUUCUCAGAUUCCAAAUGCUGAAACCCCAGCCCCCACUCUGAUGGUGCUGGCACACAGGGCGUGAAAGGGCACCUCCUGUGAUGAGAUGAACAGCCUUCCUCUUUCUGUUCCUGCCACGCGGAUACAGAGAGAAGGUGGCCAUCUGCAAACCAGGUCUGCGGGCGCCUUGACCUUGGUCCUCUCGGCCCCUGGAGUUGCGAGCAGCCAAAGCUGGUGUUUCAGCCAGCAAAUGUUGGUGUUUCAGCCAGCAAACAUCUGCAUUGCUUUGGGAAGCCAAAUCCCAUCUGAACCGUAGCAGCUUCCUGUGGCGCCUGACUGGGGCUCACCACUCCCUUUCCGGCUUUGCCAAAUCUUCCAUGUGGAACUCCCUCAGAAGCUUCUUCCACCCAGCCGCCUCCCGCCUUUCUUCAUUCAGGGUCACGUUGCAUUAUCUCUAACCUCAACCUCUCUGAAAUUUAUCUCCCAUUGUUGGUUGUAAAUGUAAUCUCUUAUUACCCCAUGAAUUUUC